UUUACCAACAGCGAUAGGAAAAGACUUAACAAGUUAGAUUAAGAGUGAAUAGAGGAGGAUAUAGACCAAUUAAAAAACAAACAUUGUAGUCCAUAUAGAGCAAGUUAUGACAUCCAAGAACCAUCAACUAGCAAAGGUAUUUUGUAGGACUUGGACGUGAAAAAGUUCAGUGAACUUACACCUCAAAAGCAAACGCUGUCUAAGAGAUGCAGAAAAAAUCUAUCUGAAAUAGUGAGGCUCUGAAAAAAGUUUCAAGGUGAUAAAAACUCCAAAAGAUCUAUAUUAAGUGUACUAACAUCAAACGAACCUAGCAAUGAAAUAUUAAAAAGCACAUUAAAUAA